UGUCGUCCCAUGACAGUUGCGAUUGUUAGGAUCGCAUUUUGGCUUUGGAUUACUAAUAAUACAGUUGCGAAUAAUUUUAGAAUUGCAGAUGGGCCCUUUGUUCACAGGGCCUUUGUAAACCAUAUGGCCGCCGUUAGCCGCCAUGUUUCCUGCAGCAGAGACUAAAACGAAGUUAGUGGGUUACGUUCAAAAUAAAAGGGGUGAGAGGUGGAAAUGUACGUUAAGCUUCACAAGACAGUUUCCGAGCACAUGUGAGGGGAGAAACAA